UGUGGAGGAUACACGAGGGGUCUUUGUCUUUGUGUGCGUGUGUGUGCGUCAGGUGGGCUGGAGUCCUUUCACCACAGCCGAGGGAGAUUCGGACUCCGGGGAGCAUACAAUAUCGGGAUAAUCGGCGUGGCAGGGAGCACCCACGCAGAGGUCAAAGAUGAGCUGGGUUAAAGGGAUUUCUUUUCACCAACAAUGUCCACCCCACUCGCAACAACGUACGCAAAAGCUACCGCGCCUACGCAAGGCCGGUCUCUGGGGCCUGCAAGGCGCCCGUAGCAGCAGCAGCAGCUGGAGGCUGGGAUCCGCUGCCCGGCUUCCACCGAUGUCCCGCUCGAAGUCUACGUGGAAGCGCUGGGCGCCAUCGCGCCUGGAGGCUCGAUAAAGUACGCCUCCAAGGUGAGCGGAAGGGUUGGUUUUCUUCAUGGAGUCCGAAAAGGUGGCAAACGCCGCCAUGGAGAAGGGGCUGACGGUUGACAAUUGGCACUUCACUUUGGAGCCACUGUCAUCGCCAUCGGUACGUGUGAUCGUAACCAACGUCCCCCACUACAUUACCGAUAAAGACAUCCAAGAUAACCUGGCUAAGUUGGGCACGCUGAUUUCCAACCUACAGCGUGUGCCUUUGGGCCUCAAAAAUCCUGCCUUGCGGCAUGUCUUGUCUUUUAGAAGACAGGUCUACAUGCUGGUGCCCAAUGGGCAGCUUGAGGAGGGCUCCUUUGUGGUCAUGCAUGGAGGAAGGGCCCAUAGGCUGUUUUACUGCAGGGACGUGCUAAAAUGCAACCUAUGCAAAGCAGAGGGGCAUAUUAAAAAAACACUGCCCAAAAACAGCAAAUGCCCAAUCCAACAGCGAGGCAAGGGUGGAAAAGUGCGCUAAAGAAGCACACCCAACAAGUGACUCAGGAGAGGGUCCCUCCCUACGGAUAUCACCCGAGAUGGCGGUAGACCCCGCUCCAACACCAGCUACACCCAUGGAGACUGAGGCUCAGCCAGCCACCCAGCCAUCAUUGACAGCCUAACCUCUGAAGGGGAAAUUUAUGGAGGAUUCGGCUUCGUUGUCUCCAGAGUCAAGUGGGGAUGAGGUCAAUCCCUUUAAAGAUCUCCCAGAGUUGGAGUCGGACAUCGCACCAACGCCUGGGGGAGAUUCGGAGAGCACUGGUGGCAAGCACGGGGUCUUCACCAUCCCAGAUGCCCCUAGAGGUGGGACACGCACAGGGAAGAAGCCCCCUGCAGGAACCAAGCUUAAGCGCAGGACGCCUGAAGUAAAUCUGGAGCCUGAAAUAGAAGCGGCGGAAAACGCAAUCUGUGCAGUGGUGAAAGAGACAAGUGAUGCGGCCGAGGGCUCCCAGGAAACGCGAGCGGCCAAGAGCACGGAGGAGCCCAAACAGGACCCAACUGACCAAACUACGGGGGGUGACCAGGACGAGGACGAUGGAGGGCCAUCAGUGGAGGGGCAAGCGGCAUCACCCAAUAAAGCAAUGACGGAGGAUACCACGAUGACUGAAAAUCCUCAAAGCCUGGGGGCUGAGGGGGGAAGCCAAGAAGAGGAGUUGGAAGAAACCCUCAGCACAGGAAGUGGGAUGAACCUGACAUCUGCUGAGCUGACUGAAGGGGCACCAAUAUUAUCACAGUCAGAGCUGUGGACCUUUUUAGAUUAAGUGCAUGGCUCAGAAGAACGAGUGACUGCAGCUCUGACAAGGUGGCGAAAUGUGGAGGCAAUUAUAGCCUCCCUACUCCAUGUUGAACAGGACUUCAAGAGACAGGGAAAGUCGUCAUCUGGGAAGGAAAGGGAGAGGAUCAGGUAUUUCCUGAGCCAAAUAACUACGUGGAAAGAAAAUACACCUGGCGACAACUCCACUGACACUUAAUGCUGCGGAUAGCUGCAAUUAAUAUAAAUGGGUGUAGAGGUCUACUCAAGAUACACUUUGUGCGUUCUCUCGCAAAAGAACACAAAGCCUCGGUGCUCUUUGUGCAGGAGAUGCAUCUUACAACCGGCGAGGAGGAUGAAUGGGAAACAGAAUGGAAAGGUGAUUGAUUUUUCAGUCACCUUACUCAUUAUUCUUCAGGAGUAGCAACAUUAAUUGCACCAGGGUUUACACCCACUAUAGUUAACCAGGUUGAGGUAGUACCGGAAAGAGCCCUCGACAUAACGAUCAAACUUAAUGACAUUUCUGUCCACCUCAUAAACAUUCAUACCCCCAUCAAUGAUGCGGAAAAACUGAAUUGUUUCAAUGAGUUACAGGACCAUCUCAAAAACAUCCCAAAUGACGAGUGUCAGAUUUUGAGAGGAGAUUUUAACUGUACACUCGAUGUCCUCGACCGCACUGCCACUGAGCAGUGCAAAAGCGGUGUCCUCAAUACCUUGCGGCACGUGCUCCGCACUUACAGGCUUGUAGAUGUGUGGCGGACGCAACAUCCAAAACAGCGAAGUUUCACCUUUACGAGAAUCCGAGCUGACAGAACACUGUCACAGUCAAGGAUUGACCGGUUUUACAUCUCAAAAGAUCUUGAAAAUAGUGGUGUCGUCCAGUAUUCAGGCAGCACCACUGGCAGAUCAUCGCCUAAUACUACUUGAAAUGAAAAUACGAGGGGUCCCAAGGGGAUCGGCAUACUGGCAUUUGAAUAAUGCCCUUUUGCAAGACACCACCUUCACUGGUCUUUUUGGGGUCUUCCGGGUGGAGUGGCAGGGAAAGAAAGAUCGUUUAAUAGCUUAGCACAAUGGUGGGACAUAGGGAAAGUACACAUAAAAAAACUGUGUCAGUUGUACGCCUGGGGAAACACAACAAAUAUUGACCGAUACAUUUGUGAGCUGGAGAACAGGGUCCAUAUUAUAGAGCAAAGGCGGAAGAUUGGGGACGAUCCAGGCCCUACUGCAGGAGUAUGUGGAGACCCUAGAAUGUCUAAAAGGGUUGCAGAAAGAAAAGGCAAAAGGGGCUUUUGUACGCUCUCGUUUUAAAGAUACCCUCGAUAUGGACUCAAGCUCGACACUUUCUCAUUAGGGAAGCAGAAUGGUAGACGCAAAGCCAUGGAGCAUUUAUUUGAUGACAAGGGGGUCCUUGUUUCCAACAAUAAUCAGAUAGCUACAAACAAUAGCACAGUACUAUGGAAAUCUCUUCUCUCCAGAGCAUAUAUCCACAGUGGCCCAGAAUGAAAUCUGGAAGGACCUGCCUACUUUGAGUGAAGAAGACAGUGACCUUCUAGAAGAAGAAGUCGAACAAAGCGACUUGGACAUGGCAGUGAGUGCCCUGGCCGGGAACAAAUCCCCAGGGAUUGAUGGGCUGACGGGGGAGUUGUAUCACCAUUUUUGGCACUCCAUACGUAAAGACUACAAAGCCGUGCUGGAUGAAGCAGUGGAAACCAACAUGAUGCCUCAGUCCUGGAGGAGAGCCGUGCUCACACUGAUUCCGAAAAAGGGCGACCUCAGACACCUUAAAAAUUGGCGUCCAGUCUCAGUGCUGAGCACAGACUAUAACAUUAUCGCGAAAGCUGCAUCUGCAAGGCUUAAGAGGGUGUUGGCUAAGGUUAUUGCCGAUGAUCAGGCAUACACUGUUCCAGGGACGACCAUCGAUGAUGGGAUUUUCCUGGUCAGAGAUUUGAUCAGUCUGUCCGAGCAUUUGAACUUUCCACUUGCCUUUCUCUCCCUUGAUCAAGAGAAAGCCUUUGACAGGGUCGAUCACCAGUAUCUUCUUGACGCUCUGAAAGCUUUUGGUUUUGGGACCAGCUUCAAUGUAUUGAUUAGUCUGCUGUACAACAUGGCCCAGUGUCUGGUUAAAGUUAAUGGUGGACUAAUUGCUCCUAUAGAUUUCAGAAGAGGUAUCAGGUAAGGCUGUCCUAUGUCAGGACAGCCCUACACCCUCGUCGUGGAGCCUUUUCUGCAUCUACUCCGACGCCGACUCACCGGAUUGAUUCUAAAGGAGCCCAGUAUGAGAGUGACCCUCACAGAAUAUGCCGAUGACAUCCUCCUCUUUUUACUAAGUUUGAAUGACAUCGAACGGCUUCACGAGUGCCAAGAGGCUUACUCCCGUGCGUCCUCCUCCAGGAUGAACUGGGAGAAGUGCAGAGGGCUGCUUGUUGGGAAGUGGGACGAAGCCCAGUUCCCUGAGUUGGCCAAAACAAUAACGUGGAGCCAAGAGCGUCUGCACCAUCUCGGCGUGCUCCUGGGGCCUGGAGAAAAACCACUGCAGGAAAAUUGGGAUUUCCUGGAAGAGAAGGUGAGGAAACGACUGGAGCCGUGGGGGCGCCUGCGCAAGUCUCUCACGUUUAGAGGGAAAACCCUGGUGGUGAACCAGUUGGUUGCAUCCACCUCGUGGCACCACUUUUUUUUUCCUUCACUCCACCCGCAUACCUCAUAGCAAAACGUGAGAGACUGGUAGCUGCCUUCUUCUGGUCGCAGAGGAAGCACCGUGCGACUGCUGGUAUCUUGGCCUUACCACUGCGGGAGGGCGGCCACGGUCUGGUGUGUGUACGGAGCCAGCUCUCUACUUUUCGUCUACAAGCCGUACAGAGGUUUCUCUACACGGUUCCAUCACCCACGUGGUGUUCCACAGCAUCUUUUUUUCUGAAUAACCUCGGGGGCCUUCAGUGCAGCAAGCAGCUCUUCUUUAUGGACAUUAAAGAUAUUCCACUCGCACAGAUUCCCCACUUCUACAGGAGUAUCCUAGAUACAUGAGGUUUCCUUGUCACCGCCCGACUGAAUACACCCCAGUCAGCAUCAGAAUUCGCUCACGAGCCGCUGUUACGAAACCCCAACAUGGCACUACCCUCUCGUGUGGGCCCUGCCAUGGAGAAACCCGUGGUGGACGCACGUCUCACGAGGGUGGGCGAUUUGGUGAAACCGGGCACGGAGGGGCAGUGGCUUCUCCCUGCCGAGAUAACUGCGAUGACCAAAAUGUACUCGGACUCGCCGCAAAACUCGUCAAUGAGGUACGAAGGUCCUUCUCAACAGCAGCGGGGAGCGCUCCUGCUGUGAGUGCUGGUGACGAGUCAGCCGGCGGUGGCCCAGUUCCACCAACACUGAAUGUCGCCCCAGCACGGGAGCACACUCAACUCUCUUCUUCACAGCAGCACGGGGGGCACACCUCGGGGAUUGACCAGGAGGAGGGGUGCUUCUCAGGUGUAGACCGGAAAAAGCUGUACGCCCAAAUGGUCGAUUUCCACCACCAACAAAUAAUAACGUCACGCAAAGGCUAUGCUUGGAGGGAAACGAUGCUCUGCAGUGAUCGCGUGAGGCCUCAUUGGGAGCUGUUUUACUCACAUCCAUCGUACAAGUGCCACGGUGAUCUUAGCUGGAGCAUUGCCCAUGGGACUGUGACCACGAACACAUUUCUGGCACUUUUCACAGACACAAAUCCUGAAUGCGGAUUCUGUUGGUGAGCUCGAAACAGUGGCGCAUCAAUACGUACACAGCAAAAGCCUAGACUCACUCUAUAAGCUGUCACGCAAUAUUCUACUGAAAUUCAAUCUUCAUUUCUCACCCACAAUUCUUAUUUUUGUAUAUAGGGGGAACGAGGGUACCAAGGAUAUAGAGGGGUUGAUUAACUUUUAUCAUGAACAACGCCAAACUGGCCAUCUAUAGGGCCAGAAAAUGCGCAAUUGACGGGAGCGGCUUCUCCAGCCACUGCCGCAUCUUCAAGGCCUUGAUUUCUGCCAGAAUUUGGCUGGAAUUUCGGUACGCUCAGUUGACGGGGAGUGUCGCGUAUUUCUCGACGCGUUGGGCUACCGAGGGCGCUUUGUGUCAUGUGACGAAAGCAGGGGAUCUGGUGGUGAUGGGUUUUUAAGGCUGAAUUUUUUUUGCUGGUAUUUAUGAACACAGUAGCACACAAUGGGUUUUACGUUACAUGGGAAAACCGUGUUAUAUAUUUUAUUUUAUUUUUUAAAGGGGGCACAUAAGCAAACAAAAAAGACAAAAAAAGACGACAUGAUGAACGAAGCAAAGUGCCGAAAGACCGAGCAUCUUUCAGUUUCUUCUGAUCGUUAAAAAAAA